AUAAUAAAUAAUGAUCGUAUUAUUAUAAAUAAUACAUGAAUUAACAUACAUAUGCUAUAUAAUAUAUAAUUAGAUUAUAUCAUGAUAAAUAAUAUGAAUUAUAAUAUGCUAUUAUAUAAAACAUAAUGUAUAAUAUAAUUUAAAUUAUAUAUUUAUAUUUUAUAUGAUUUCAGAUAGUUCUAAUAAAUUUGAUAGUUUUUAACCUCUUAGCUUCAUCUGUAUAAAUUUUUAUUUUAUGAUAGUUCCAAACUUUUUGGUAUUUUCUACAAUGCUCUAAAUACUGCUUCAGAAAUUUUUUAAUUCAGUGCAUUUUCUCUUGAUAUUGUGUGGGUUUUGUUGAAACCAUUCCCUUUGUAUGAAAUGUUUCAACUUAUAAAUCAUUUAUAUACUUUUUCUACCUGGACUAUCAACCAUUAAAAAUGUAUAUUUCAUUAGAAUUAAGGAAAAAUUUAUUUAAGUUCAUUCUGAGAAUACAGUAAGCCUCAUUGUUUGAAAUUGGAUAGAAGGUGUAGAUGAUUGAAUCUGUUUCAUUUGUAAAAUACCCAGUUUUUAUAACUAGUGCAUUCCUGUUAUUUUCUGGAUUUUCAUCAUUUUGUCUAAAAUAGGAUAUAAAAGGGAAAAAAAUAAAAUAGCCUGUUUUUAUAUGUGUGAACUAUAUUGCUAGUCAAUGUUUUUGUAUGACCAUGUUAUACUUGAUAAAAAAAUUAUAUGUAUAUGUUUAUACACACACAUUAUAUAUAUUUAAAUUAUUUCAAAUAUUUGAAGUUAUUGUGGCUCCUAUGAAACUGUUGCCUCUUAGAGUAUGAUACUUUAAGAUUAUUAACCAUUGACUCGGUGGUCAACACUUGGGCUCAUAUUAUCACUUGACUAUAAUAAGAAAUGUGUUUUAUGGCAUGUUGUCUUAUAGUUCUCUUUAACAUUCAGGACUAAAGAGAAAUGAAUAAACAGCCUUUUUAUGCUUAAGUGUAUUUUUUUAAUCUUCCUUAUACGAAG
rnacentral:lncRNA from 1 species